rnacentral:lncRNA from 1 species
AAACAUGCAGCAAUCCAAACCAAUACCACCAAGAUCGAAAUGAAACUUCGCACUUAAAUAAUAUACUUCAUUCUUAUAGAUAAAUAAUUAAUAAAACUAUCAUCACAGGACAUAUAAUACGAUUUUUUUAUUGAUUCGUUUUAGUAGAAAUUGUAAAAUUUCUAUAACCAAAUUAAUAAUAAUAGUUAAGCCAUAUUUUC